rnacentral:lncRNA from 10 species
UGAGCUGGGUCCGUCUAUUCUGGGACCACCCCAGUUCUAUAAAAUGAAUCAUGACCGCCCCUAUCACCAGUUAUUAAUCAUGAUCCCCAUGCUGGGAUUCAAGCUCAGGUCAGCCUCCUCCAGGGCCCACAGGAGUGUGCCUGCAUCUCCCCACCUCCCUCUGUCUUUCUAAGGAAAAUACAGAUGCUCCCUGAAAGCCUUGUUAUUUUCAGCGUUUCCCCAACCACAGGCUUGUUUGGAUGGUCGAGAUGCCUGCCUGCCUGCCGGGCACAGGUACAUGAAACCUGAAUUCAAGCCACACGUGUAUCCUGGGGAGGACCUUUUGCUGUUUCCCUCUCACUCUGAGCUUCAUAGAUAACAGGAACGGCUGAUAUCUAUGGAAAGCAGCAUUUUAACAGCUCCCCAGGUGAUAACUGUCUGUGGACCCUGGGGCUCACCGUGCUAGUCUUCCGAGCAUCAUUUGCAGCCGUGUGGACUCCAGAGCAGGAGGGGGCAGCAGGGAAAGGCUGGCCUAGAACAUAUAUGCCACAUGUAUGACAGAGAAGGAAAGGACAGCAAUUGCACGGCCGAAGGAAAGAGAAAAACCAGCAACCAAACACGCCCAGAGAACUGAGUGGCAGGCCCAGGGCUGUUCUUGCCCAGUACAGGAAGACCCGGACAUUCCUAAUAAUUCUAGGUAAUCAACAGAAGAUUGAAAAAGACAGACCAGGGGGCACAGCAGAGUGGGGUGCACAGCAGACAUUCAACAUAAGAAAACCUCUUUCCCCUUUCCACUAUCCUAGGAGUGAGAAUGCAGGGUAGUGUGUACUCUUUUCCAAGCAAAAUUAUCAUCAAAAAUUGCUAAAGGAAAAAAAUAGGAGAUUUGAUGUUGCUGGGGGAAAGCAUCAAUUACAUUUUCUCAUGGGGUUUGCUGCCUUCUCCGUGUGUGUGACUGGCAGCUGUAUUUUGCCCUGGUUUGCAUCCACG